rnacentral:rRNA from 1 species
UACGUAGGGGGCUAGCGUUGUCCGGAUUUAUUGGGCGUAAAGAGCGUGUAGGCGGCCAGGUAGGUCUGCUGUGAAAACUCGAGGCUCAACCUCGAGACGUCGGCGGAAACCAUCUGGCUAGAGUCCGGAAGAGGAGAGUGGAAUUCCUGGUGUAGCGGUGAAAUGCGCAGAUAUCAGGAGGAACACCAAGGGCGAAGGCAGCUCGCUGGGACGUGACUGACGCUGAGACGCGAAAGCGUGGGGAGCAAACAGG